AUGAUAGGUGACCUCAACGAAAUUCAGUUUAUCCAUGAAAAAGAGGGGGGCAAUCCUCGCCCUACUCAAUAUAUGCAAGCUUUUCAGGAUGCUAUUGAGGACUGUGAACUUCAUGAUCUAGGAUUUGUUGGUGAUCGGUUUACUUGGCGUAGAGGAAGGAUACGUGAGGGGUUAGAUAGAGGCCUUAUAAAUGAUACAUGGGCAAAUCUAUUCCCUCACGCGGCUGUGGAGAACUUGGAAUAUAAUCAUUCUGAUCACCGGCCGCUCCUG
rnacentral:rRNA from 1 species